rnacentral:tRNA from 11 species
GGCCGUGUCGAAGUUUGAACUUCAAACAUCUGGCAUGCAAGACAAGCGUGUUACCACUACCCCACCGGC